UACGGAGGGGGCUAGCGUUGUUCGGAAUUACUGGGCGUAAAGCGCGCGUAGGCGGACCUGCAAGUCGGGGGUGAAAGCCCGAGGCUCAACCUCGGAACUGCCUUCGAUACUGCGGGUCUCGAGUCCGGGAGAGGUGAGUGGAACUGCGAGUGUAGAGGUGAAAUUCGUAGAUAUUCGCAAGAACACCAGUGGCGAAGGCGGCUCACUGGCCCGGAACUGACGCUGAGGUGCGAAAGCGUGGGGAGCAAACAGG
rnacentral:rRNA from 1 species